rnacentral:tRNA from 1 species
GGCGGAGGUAGCCAAGGGGUUUAGGGCGGG